CCCACCUGUUAAGAGAAUAUUGAAUUGCAGUUAGAUGUAGCACCAUAACCUUGUUUUGUGACUAAGCUAUCACAGAAUGGGGAAAGGAGGGGGAGAGCAGAGGGAGCGAGAGUAUCAUCUUACUUGAAAGACUGGUCGUUAUCCAGAGAUACAUACAUUUUAAGUUAAGAAACAAACACAAACUAAGAGGGGGGAAUAAAAGCCCUGAAGGCUGAGGUACAAUUUCUUACCCAAAUCUCUCUCAAAGAUAAGUGUACUUUAUAAAUAUGAAGCACGAAUCAUGGUGGAUCUUCAAACAAAGAUCAAUUUUCAAUUAGAUGUCCCAGUAUGUACUGAAAUCACUGAAGAAUAACCUAUUUAAAUAUUCUUAAAAGUAGACAAUGGGGACAGGAUUCCCAGUGUGAAGGAAUAAGUCCCUUCAGUGUCUUAAUUUACACCUUGUUUUCCUAUUGUCCAGCUGGAUUUAAGGUCAAAUGUACCUACCUUCUGUCCCUUUUUAAAAAACUGGAAGGUUGGCAUGCAUUUGACUUCACACUCUGAAGCAACAUCCUGUGUGGGGCAGGGGGAGGAUGAAAACAAGACUGAGUAUUAAGCUCUGGCAUAAGUAAUCCCAGAUGUUCCUCCCCUGCCCCCCCCCCCCCCCCCCGUUAUACACCUCAUUUAAGCAUAUGAAGAACGACAGAAUGAAUGUAAUGGCAGCACAAAACCCAAACUGGUUAUAGUCUCAAUGAAAAUUAACAUGUACUCCCCUCUUUGAGGGCCACCAAUAAGAAUGCUACUGGCCUCAGAUAUAUACAGUGACCCAGUGAGCUGUUUAAUCCAAAUCUCAGCUAGUUCAAGUAUAAAGAAGCAGUAACAAAUUCUGCUGUACGUAUGUAUACUCAGGAUUUUAAUCUUAGCUAUUCCUCAGAAUUAGCACUUGUCUUCUUUGCUCCUAGUUUUCCGAACCUUUAUUAUGGGAAUAGAGUCCAUACAUGAAGGUCAUAAAGACUAAAACCCAGCGUGAGCAAGAGGAACAACAAUUCACUUGCCCAAGAAUUGUUCAAGAACAAAGUCCUAUAACCCAAAGGCAAAGUUCCACACUGGUUUUUUUCUGCUUUUAAUUAAACAUUGACUUGUAGAUUCUCAAACUUGGCUGCAUAUCAAGAAACAGAGGUCCCUGGAGUAUCAAGCGUUCCUUAAUUCUGUUACAGGAACACUAAAUGAGAACCUCUAACACCCCCCUACCCCCACCAUACCUUUUUCACACAGGGUUUGGAGGGAAAUGCCUCAGGAAAUGGUUGGGUUUGGACAAGCGUUCAGGUGAAAAGAUCCAUUAGGGAUUGAAAAUAUCAGCAUGGUCCUCAAGAGGCUUGGGAAAGAAAUGUAGAACCACACAGCAGCUAAGGAGCAAAAAGCAGUGAAGGACAGCAACCAAGGAGGCUGAACUCUGAGAACCAGAUUUCAGAAACCAAACAGUUUACAGAGGAAAGAAAGGCAACAUGGUGACUUCUAAUAUAUACAAUUUGGGAGGGCACAGGACUAUAAAAAUGGAGUGAUCUCUCUGAGCCACUGGUAAUGGCAGUAUGCCAGCUUAUUAAUUUGACCUCUUCCUCUGAGACUGGAAAGAAAAGUGUGGUUUUACAGCUUUAUAAAUUUGCAUUGUUGGUAGCCUGGGCAGGAAGGGUAGUGGAUAAUACUGUUGGGAGUUCCUUUUGGGUAUCCUUGACUCUUCCUCUAAAUGCUGGCUAACACAGAGGCACAAGGACAGUAAUGACUGGAGUAAAAAUGGCUAACAGGUUCUGAACGCCUAGGGAAACUACUAAGAGCAUGCGAUAAGACCACCACAUAAAAUUCCAAUGAUUCCCUUGUAGCAAGAGCGUCCAAGAUUGAAAACGUGGUGAAGAGUUGACAGGAAGACUAUGAACUGCCCAUGUCAAGGUUCUGGAGGAGUACUCAGAAAAUCAGAAGAUGGUAAGUUAGGCUGGGGGGCUGACUUAGGUAAAAGACUGAAAACUGGUCAUCUGAGGGGCUGAAUCUGAUCCAGAUACACUGCUUGGCUCAUGCAAGAGCUUAAGAACAAAUCUUUGCACUGGCUGCCCACUAGCAGAUCCUUCCCACACUGGAGUAUCUGGGAACACUGGGCUCAUCCCUCACAGCACUGGGGAGAGCAGCUGUUUGGUACAGCCCCUUCCCUCUCUUACACACACGGAAGCCAUCGGUUGGACACUACCUUUCAUCCAGGCAGUUGGCAAAAGGCUCAAAGUAAAAGGGUGUUUGUGUUAUAUUCAUGGUAGAAGGGCAGCAGCCUGGAAAGGAUAAGCCACCCUCUUCCCCACUUAUUUUUCCUUUCUUAAUGUUUUAUUUACCUUUUGAGAGAGCACAAGUGGUGCACAAGUGGAGGCAGAGACAGGGGGACCGAGGAUCCAAAGCAGGCUCUUCACUGUUAACAGUGAGCCUGAUGUGGGGCUCAAACUCAGGAACCACGAGAUCAUGGCCUGAGCCAGAGCUGGAUGCUCAACUUGGACGCUCAACCUACUGAGCCAUCCAGGUGCACUGCCCCCUCCCCCCCCCUUCUAAUUAGAAACUCACCAGGGGAGUGAGCUGCAUCACACACAAAGGCAGGUAAAACAGGGCUGGCCAGUCGUCAUAACUUUCUGCUGAGAAAGCUUUAUCAGCAGAAAAUACAGGGUCUCGUCUCAUUCAAUGGAUGUGACAGUCUAAUCGAUGCUCUCAGGAUUCUGGAUGUCUUCUGCCUCAACUAGCCAGAGACCAGCAUUCCUGCGUUGGUACAACUGCUGAAUUUACAAUAAAAUAAAUCCUGGGGCACCUGAGUGGCUCAGUAGGUCAAGCUUCCAUUCUCGAUUCUGGCUCAAGUCAUGAUCUCAUGGUUGAUGGGAUCAAGCCCCAAGUUGGGCUCUGUGCUGACAGUGCAGAGCCUGCUUGGGACUCUCUCAAUGAGAGACUUAUUAAAGAAGGGACUUAUAAAAAACUAAAUCCCCAAACUGGAAAAUAGACGAAUCUUCAGAAGUGGUGCCAAGGCUCUGUGAUAGCAUUUAAAAAAUACUGGGGCAUCUGCAUGGCUCAGUCCAUUAAAUGUCUGACGCUUGAUUUGGGCUCAGGUCACCAUCUCAUGGUUUAUGAGCUCAAGCCUGCUUGGAAUUCUCUUUCCUCUCAAAAUAAGAUGAACAAGAUGUAUUUUUUAAAUUUUAAAAAUUGCACUCAAAUCUUUAACUAAAACUUUACCACGUAAAGCAUUUAGAAUUUGCUUUCAUUAGGUGUGAAGGUGGUUUUGUUUUGCUUUGUUUAUGGUAUGGAAUCCUAGGUCGCCUUGAUUCCCAAAAGUGAGGCUUUGUUAUUUCCAAUUUCUGCACAUCCUUGUGAAUAAAUCCUCAGACACAUCUUAGGGCAAAAACCUUAAAGUGAAACUGAUGGGCCUAGGAAGAUCAUUUUCAUUUUAUAGAAGUAUAACCUACAUUCAAGGCAAAAAACUGGAAGAAGGAAACCAGUCCUAAUCUGUACAAGCCACCAUAAACAUCUCACUAGUGUACCUAAAUGCUUUUCUUUAUAAAACCUAUGCUGCGUGCACAGUAACACACCUGUAUACUCAGUAUAAUAUAUACAUACAGUGGACUUUUCCCCGUGAAAAAGUACACAAUCAUUUUUUAUGGCCUAAUAGCAGUCGCUGUAUGGAGGUAUCAUCACUGGAACUAGUCCACUGGUCAAUAAGUAAAAGGCUUUGAUUUUUGCUUAAUGUAAACGCUUGCAUCUUCCUAUGCAAAUAUCUACAUCCUGGGUCAAUCACCACCCCUGGAAGUAGAACUGCUAAGACAAAGAACAUGCUUUUGAAGAGGCUUCAAGCCCAGCGCAGAGCCAAUGUGGGGCUUGGACUCGUAACUCUGAGAUCAAGACCUGAGCUGAGAUUAAGAGGUGGACACUUAACCAACUGAGCCACCCAGGCACCCCAAACAUGCUCCUUUUCAAAGCUCUAGACACACAUUCAUAUUGGGAGGUACUUCAGUACAUACCAAUUUCAGUAUUUAUCAUGAUUUUUGCCACCUAGUCUGACUUCACUUGAUCAAAUCCAUCAGCCCUUCUCUACCCCAUUCAUUAAAAGUGCGAGCUUGAGCAUUAAACAGACUUCAGGUCUGUGACUGAAUUUUUCCAGGCCCAUUUCCUCAGUGGCAAGAGUAAAAACAGUUCUGUUCUUGAGAUUAUGAAAGCCAGGGCCAUCAAUGUGCUUAACAGCUCCAUCAUUUCUGGAAAUAUGUUCAGUAUUUACUAGGAUUUUUGUUUGAAUGUCUUCUAGGUUAGGGGCGCCUGGGUGGCUCAGCCAGUUGAGCAUCCGGCUUCAGCUCAGGUCAUGAUCUCACGGUUCAUGGGUUCGACAACUGUGCCAACAACUCAGAGCCCGGAACCUGCCUCGGAUUCUGUGUCUCCUUCUCUCUCUGCCCCUCCCCCACUUGCACUCUCUCAAAAAUAAACAUGAGAAAACAAAUUUUAAUGGAGGUAGAAAUGCAACAUCUUAACUCCAAACUGUUAAUGAUUAAUACAUGUUUAAAUAGACUUGAUCCUAUUUUUUUUUUUGAACUGUCUAUUCUGUUCCAUGCGUAUACCUACCUACAUUACAAGACUACAUUGUUUUAAUAAGGGCAGCUAAUACACUGUAUUUUUACGGGGCUUUUCCUUUCUCAUUUUCCACAACUUCUCUCCCAAUUAGUGUUUGUUUUUUAAAAAUACUUUCCUGACUGUAUUUUUUCAGAAUGGCACACUGAGAUCUAAUCAGACCAACUUGGGAGUACUCCAUUUAAUAACACUGAGUCACUAUCCAGGAACAUAGUAUGCCCAUCUAUUCAUAUCUUUUAUGGACUUCAGUCAAGUUUUAGUUCAUAACUAGCAUUUGAUCUCUACUCUCUAAAAUUAGUAUUUCUUUCUACUACUUGUUCUAUGGACUAAUUUGCCUAUUCCUAUAGUGACUUGAAAGGUAUUCAUACCUAAAAAUUUAGUUACAUUUGAAGCCUUAAACAUUCUCGAUCCUGUUUAUCACGUUCCUCACUUAACUAGUCCACCCCCUAAUGACACCCCCAACUCCUAUUUUUUUGUAAACAAUCUGGAAUUUAAAAAAAAUUACAUAAAGCAAAAUUCAGUUUUUACGGGGUGUUUAAGUUCUGGGAGUUCUGACAAAUGCAUAGUCAGGUAACAUCAAAAUCAAGAUACAGACCGGUUCCCUUGCUCACCUACAAUCUCCUCAGCAGCUCCUUGAUACUCAAGUCCUCCCCUACCCCAAUCUGUUCUCCAUCCCUCUGGUUUUGCGCAAUCUCAGAUUUGUAUACGUCUUUAGCAGUAAGUGUAAUAUAGUAAGACUACUUUUUCUCUUAUUAAAUUUAGUUUCAUUGGUUUUCAGCUUAGAAUUCCAUACAGCCAAAGUAUCUUCAAACCUGCUUUUGUCAUUUCUACGAAGUCCUUCCUGGCUGUUCUAACCAAAACGGCAACAUACGGCAGUUCUAAAAGGCUGCACAACCAUAGGGUCUAAAUUACUUUGUUUCUUGUUUUAGUUCACAAAAUAAGUAUCUUACCCUGUACAGAGUUGGGAGUAGAGUCCAGCAUUUUCAAAAGGGCUGGUACCCCUCAAAAUGAUUUUGAGGGCCACAUGGUGUGUCCACACCUCCUGAUGGUCUGUUUGAAUCUAUUACACCUAAAAGCUAACUUCUUCCUGCCCAAGUGCUUACAGAGUCUUCUAUUAAAACUGUAUGUUGCUUAUGCCAAAGACAGUACAAAGUACCCUAAGUCUGAAAUUCAGCAGGAAUUAUCUGCACAAAAAUUUAAACUAGUUCAGUCAUUAAUAAUUUCAUCCAUUAAUGAUAGACUCUAAUAUGGACAAAUGUGACUGAUGUACUUUUUAUCCCUUGUCUCGAUUUUACAAUCCAAAUGAGGGGAUGCUUUUACCUAGAGCUGCAAAGCAACUGGAGGAUCUACUCCUGUGACUUGGAAAUUCCCCGAGGAAAAACUGGCUGAUUGUUUAAUGAACUGCUUUUUGACAGAACUGGCAAGGAGGGUAAUUCAGAAUGGCGAGGUUUGCUCAAUGAAAAAGCCACACUUGGAGGUUGAUGGGGCACGUGUCAAGAUCCGGGCACAGAGAAGAACCAGAGCUGAAGGGAGGAGAGGCUGGCCUAAAGGAGAAGUCCUGCAGCCAGGCCUGGAACCCGCGUGAGCACCCUUACUGCCGUAUCAUACCCUACACCCUCCUGCCCCACUGGGGCUAAGGGAAAAAUGUGCAUGUAUCUGUAAAGAACUCCCAGGUGCUGUUCUUGAACACGAACAGGCACACUCCUAGUUCAGUGGGCUGGUUACGAGGCAAGUCAUGUGCCAGGAACUCGAUCUGCACCCACCCUACACCAGAGCCUCCUCUACAGUACCGCAUCUUAAAUCCUGACUCUGCCACUAACUGUAACUCCAUGGAUCACUCCUCUGUGUUUAUCCUCAUCUGUAAAAUGGGGAUGGAUAGCAGAAAGGCAUCUGGAACAGACCUGGGAUGAACAAGUAUUUGUAAUGCUAAUGUAACGCUAACACAGAAUGCUAAACAAGUAUUUGUAAAGUUAAUUUCCCCUAAAUUACACUUGGCUCUCUAUCAAGCACCUUGGUGUCUGUUCUUUCAAACAUCUGGGCUUUCUAAUUGAUUAAAAUCAAGCAAGAUGAUUGUGACUACACUUUCUCAUGUCACUAGUUCACAAAGAAUCUUAAGAGCGGUCUCACAAUUUUCCAGUCUAUGGAUUUAGUUAUAAUCAAAUUCAAUUUCGAUUUAAUGAGCGUCUCAACUUUUAGAAAGGUGAGCAGUAAGGUAGAGCAGCCUCAACCAUCUGUUUUUAUGCUUAUUUUAUGAUAUGAUAUACAAAGCUCCUGAGAGCUAGGAUUAAGCUCAUAAUUGGCACGAUGACUUUUUUUAGCGAGGGCUGUAGUCCCGGUAUUAUUUGACAUGUAUGAAAACAAGCCCUUCCAGUUCCAAGGAAAAGGCCAAUGUGAAAAGCUCAGUAGUAUUCCAAAUUUCCAGUCACGUACCUGACAGUCAUCCACGUCUACUUCAAGGAACACCACGUUGGAAUACUUCUCAGAGAGGGACUGGAAAAUUUAAAAAAAUCCAGAAAGAUUCAGAACUGGGUAAUGGCAGUCACUAUACUCAAGCUUCUUAAACAGAAACCAUGAUAAAAGUAGAAACUACUAAUUAAAGAUCUAAAGAUUCAGACUAGAGACCAGGUAAGCACCAAGGACAUACAGUUUCUCUGAAUCAGAUUCCUCCUAGUAUAAAAGAAUUUGACACGUCAAGCUCUGAGGCCUGAAUUUCAAACAGGGCCUGGGUUUCAACUCCAAGAAAAGCAAAAACCAUUUAAGACAGUUCUGACAGUUGUCUUCACUGGGCUACACAUGUGUCAAAAGCAAUUACUGAAGUUGUUACACUACUGCUUCUACACCAAAGGUUCAACAACAACAACAAACACUGUCCUUUCCUGGCUUUGUGACCACCCACUCGAAACAGAAUCUCUUACAAAACAGAACUGAUUUCAUACUCACAUGAAAGAAGGGCUUGAUCAUUUUGCAAGGUCCACACCACGUGGCAGAGAAAUCAACUACUACAAGUUUUUCCCCUGCACUGUUCAAGGCUUCCUGAAAAGCAUACUAAGGAGAAAAAAAGAAACGCAUAGGUUAAACAGCUUCCUCUAUUUCCCAAAGCCCUGAUCAAACUUGAUAGAAUGUGAUACAAAGAACAAUUCAAAGGUACUGCUUUUUAAAAAUCUAAGAAGCUAAAAUGAACCAAACAAACUGAAAAAAAUCCUACAGAGUUGAUAAGACGAAACAAGUAUGAUGUAUAUAGUUUAUCUAUAUUCAACUGAGCAAAUUAAAAUAAAGACAUUUGUAUUACAUUUCCACAUCAAAUCUAGGUCAAUGGUAAACAUUCACUAAAUGGGUAUCAACUCAUAGAGGGUCAUUUCAAUUGAAUAAGUCACAAAGGCACAGAAUUUUGCAAUGUUAAAAGCUAAUACUUUAUUGGGGCCCCUGGGUGCUUCAGUCAGUUAAGUGUCUGACUUUUGAUCUCAGCUCAGGUCAUGAUUUCACAGUUAUUGGGCUCUGUGCUGACAGCACAGAGCCUGCUUGGGAUUCUCUCUCACUCUCUUCCUGCCCUUUCCCCACUUGUGCUCUCUCAGAUAAAUCAACUUAAAAGCUAUUACUUUAUUAAUUAAAAUGGUCUAUAGUGGAACAUGUCAAAAGCUUUAAAAAAAAAAUCAAGGAAAAAAUAUCAAGGAAAAUAAACCUCCUCCAAACGUUUACACUCAGGCAGUCACUGUUGACAUUAGGCAUAUUUCCUUAUACUCCCUUUAGUGGAGUUUCCAGAGAUGAGAUCAUACUGCUUAUGGUUGAUGUCUGCCCUUUAUCUCAAAACUCUGCUCUUACUGGUGACCAAAUAAUAGUUUUAGUUCUUCAUGCAAAGAAGUUUCCUUAAAUGUUUUUUUGCAUUAGAAAUGUCAAAUAAAAUUCCAGCAGUGAGACAUGAUCAAGAAAUCCCUUACCACCCAUCUCCCUGAGUCAUUUACCAAUGGUUUUGAUAUUGUAACCCUAGGAACCUAACCUUGGAGUUAACAAGGGGCUGCUUUUUAAUCAAAUUUAAUCAGUGCUUACCGAAACUGGGGCAACAAAGAGAAACCAAAACAUAAACAUCUGUAUCUGAAGUCUAGGUUUUCUUCAAGGGAAAAAUGCUGGUCACAUUGGUUUAAUGAAAAACUAACGUUCCCCUCCCUUGAAAGCUAAGAAUCAUAUCAGAUCUGAUCCACUAAAGGAAAGUAAAUACCAUUUAAAAAAAAAAAAUUUAAAGUGAAUUCCUCUGCAGGACAGUUACUUUUCUAUAUUUCUAAUUUCCAACUCCUGUUUUUUGGUGAAGCAAUUCACAAGUGGCAUUCCCAUGUCAUGACUUCUAUAACCUUUUCAGUUAUUCAGGUACAAACUCUCACCCCACCUUCAGGGUGUGGGGAGAUAUUAGGUGUGUGUGAGGGAAUGGGGAGAGAGAACAAGUUAGAAUUAUAGAAAUCAUUUUUCCAAACCAUCACCAUGUUUUCCGGAUGAAUUUAAUGCAAAGCCUUCACUAACAUGAUUUUUUAAAAGGUCAAACUAGCCAUUCUACUGCAAGAACCAGGUUAGACAGGAAAAAAGUCAAUGAAUGAUAACGUCCAAUCAGAUGAAUGCACGGUUUUGUGAACAUGGUUGGCUCCCAGUAAAUACUUGAGAUUACUUUCAACACAAAAUAUUAUUCAAACACUCUCAAAGGUUCCCUCAAACCUUUUGAUUUGCUGAAUCAAAUUCUAGCAAAACUACGUAAAAUUCUGAAGAAAAAAAAAAAAAAGCCAUG